rnacentral:rRNA from 1 species
UUACCAGCUUGACAUAUUUGAAAGGUGCUUCGGAACAGGUGUUGCAUGGCUGUCGUCAGCUCGUGUCGUGAGAUGUCGGGUUAAGUCCCUUAACGAGCGAAACCCUGCCCUAGUUACCAGCGUACGGGACUUUAGGGGACUGCCGUUGUCAAACGGAGGAAGGUGGGGACGACGUCAAGUCAUCAUGGCCCUUACGCUGGGCUACACACGUGCUACAAUGGGGUACAAGGGGCGCUGCGAAGGAAGCGACCCCAAAACCACCCCAGUUCGGAUUGCAGGCUGCAACUCGCCUGCAUGAAGUUGGAAUCGCUAGUAAUCGCGAUCAGCACGCGCGGUGAAUAUGUUCCUGAGCCUUGUACACACCGCCCGUCAAGCCACGAAAGCUGAAGGCCGAA